AGUCAGAAACAAGCGUCGGGGCGCAAGAUGUCACUUCAGCUGCGUCUCACGCAGUGUGAACGGCAGCUGUCCCCCGCACAAACGGGAGUUACCUGGCAAAGCCAAGGCGCUCAUUUUCGAAAGGGGGAGAGGGUCUUUUGCUGGAUUCAGGGGAUGCCUUUUCCAAACUUUGCAUCGUGCUGCAAUGAGCUGCUCGCUGUGAGCAGAGCUUGUUGGAAUUCAGGUGUAUGGAGAUGUAGGGGACCACACCUGAACCAGAAGAGAGGUGCUGUGCCUGACCCUGCUGCUGGCGCCUGAGUGCCUUCUGACAAGUCACUCAGUUCGUAUAUUACUGGUUUACCAUGGUCAGGAUGGGAUGAAUGCACGCACGAAUUCACAGCACUGGAACAGGCUGCCUGGAGAGGUUGUGGUGUCUCUUUAUGGAGAUAAUCAAAACCUGUUAGGAUGCUUUCCCAUGCAGCCUUCCAUAGGGAGCCUGCUUGAGCAAGGAGUUGGAUUGGAGGAUCUCCAGAUGUCCCUUCCAAUGCCUCAAUUCUUAGGUGCCAAUGGCUGGGACAAGCAGAGCACCAGGGUGUGGAUGCGCAAGCUGGGUCCUGGGUGACCUCACCUCCAUUACCAGCUACCUGAAGUGACCAUCAUCUUCUAACCUCUCAGAAAAUCUCACCUGGAUCCUGGUUGGCAGAUGGCUAAAGAUCAGGGUGAGAACAUGCCUUGUCUGAGGACCUUACUACAGCACCCUGUCUCAUCUGGAUGGGAAUAUGUGAGACCUGCCCUGGUUCCUCUGUUAUCUGCAGAGCUGUACUCAAAACUCUGAGUGAAUGUACCUCAAUGUCAUCUCUCAAACAAGAGUGAAAGAAAGCUAAUUCUCAGGAACCUGGCCUCAGCAAUCCAUGUAAACAAUCUUGGAGCACUCAAGAUGGGUGAGGUGGCAGCAAAUACUUUUAUCUUGAAAGCAGUGGAUUUGUGCAGCAGAAGUCAAUCUAAUAGCUGUCCUGGCAAUAUGCUUGUAAUAUCCUUGCUUGCAGAGGCUCUGUCACUUCUGCACUGAUGUUCUGAGUGAAGACUGUUGCUGGAUGAAGUACUUCAAAAUGCAUGGAAAGCCUGGCUUAAAGACAUCACAUAAAAAAGGUGCACAGAUCAACUGGCCAGUCAGGAGAAUUCUCUCGAAGCAUGACCUGUCAUGGCAGAAGGUAGUGUGGGGAAAUUAAGGUAUUCUAGCAACUGACACACAUGGAGAAGCACAUUCAACAGACACGUAAUGCUAUACGCAUUAUUGGCAGGUAUACUGAGGAUUAUUCGGAACCAUAUGAUCGACCCUAACACCUGGUGAAUUUGGAUAUAACAUCUAUAAAGCUGGUGUGGAGACCUUAAGAGUCCCUUUCUAAAUCUGUACUACCCGAGGAUUCAGUGGCAAUUCAUGCAGAUGAAAAAAGUGAUCAGAGAAGUAUCUUCAGUCAAGUUUAGUAAUGAAGGAGAUGGAUCUGCCAGUCAGGAAAACUAGCUAACUAAUAGUGACACAAAGACAAAAGAGGCAACAGUUUUGAUACAAAUGCAGUUUAUUUAUUUAUUUAUUUUUAAGAAAACUUGCUUGUAAAUAUCUUCAGGAAAAAAAAAAAAAAAAAAGUAAAGUCCUAUAUUUUAAACAGAAGCACCCUGUGUCCAGACAAAUUGCUGUUGAAAUAACCAGUCUGGCCAUUUGCAGCUCAUCACGACUGAGAAAGUCUUUAGCCUUCUCCCUUCAAAUGCAGUAUUUUCUCACUAAGAUAGUGAUACCUGUUUUGGUUAGAAAAACCUCUUGGGCUUCUAAUAGAGUCCUAUCAAUUUGUACUUUGUUUUUUGCAGGAAUCAUGCUUUUCUACUUAUGUUGGAUAUGCUUUGGAAACAGAGGUAGUUUUUUGUUUAAUUGAGUAAUUUUCCCUGAAUUUUGAGUCCUGCUGCCUGUCCCAUGAAGGAGGAAUCCUCCAGUGCAAGCAAUAAUUGCUGCACUGAAAAACAGUCCUGAACUACUGAGGAUGAACCAACAUCCAACAAAAUCCAUAUUAUUUCAAAAAUGUUUGGUCUGAUGUUUUGAAUGUGAGUCAGAACAACCUCAAGGCUGUGUUCAAGGAGAUGUUUGAUCUUACAUAGCCUAAGAUAUGACAACUCAGCUGCACUUUCCUUAUGUGGAAGAGAAAUAAAAGACUUCGAUGUUUGAAAAUGUACUUGUAGCCCAAACUGUGGAAUAAAAUCCUGCAGGAAUUUGGAAUUAACUGUAAACUGUAACCUUUUUUUUUUUUUUUUUUUUUUUCCCUUCCAAAGAUGAAGAAGUAUGGUUCUCCAAAUUGUCAUUUCUUUUACAACAUGUAGCACAAAAAAAAAAAAAAAAAAAAAAAAAAAGUCAUUUUCAGAGUUCCGAAGCACAGAAUAUAUGCUUGUCUGUGAUGUCACAACAUCAUGAUGGGCACUAAGUACCUGAAUAACUCGGGAAUGGCUCCCAGCUGGCUCAGUGAAAGAACCACCUCCAUUGUAAAGGUGAAUAGGGCACUUAAGUGGCUUAUCUGGAGCUCGUUCACUCGCAGGUUGAAGUUGUUGCCCCUCCAAAUGCUGUUUGCUGUUUUCUCCUAGCCAAACUCCCUUGGCUGUUGCACUGUAAGUGGCUUUCUAGUUUUAGAGGGAUGCCUGAAGUUCAUGUUCUCAGCUUUCAGAUAUAAAGCUUAGUCUAAUUACUGACUACUAGAACAACUGAGUAAUACAGGGCAAAAUAAAAGGAAAAUAACUUGGAGACAAACUGAUACAUAAUUUCCCACAUCAAAACAUUUAUUGACUCCAUAUAGUUGGUUGCAUUCUUAUCUAAAGUUUCUUAAUUCCUUUUCCUUCUUUCAUUUUUUCUUUCUCUAUCCCACUUAUUAUAGAAUUAUACAGGCAUAGAAUCAUGAAGGUUGGAAAAGACCUCCAAGAUUUAUCAACCUGUCACCAAUAUUUCCCACUAAACCACAGUACAACAUGUAAAUAUUUCUUGAACACCUCCGGGACAGUGACUCGACCAACACUUUUGGCUGCCUGUUCCAGCACCUGAUCACUCUUUUGGAGAAAAAUUUUUUCCUAAUAUCCAAAUUAUAGCUUACAGUGAGAUUUUCACUGCAAGCAUGAGUGAACCCUCAUGAAAAUAACAGGAUGUUGUUCUGGAUUUGUACAGUACAAAGCUGAAAAAAAAAGAGUGAAGAGAAAGCAUAACACAGUGAAACAUUCAAAGAUGAAGAAACAUAAGCAAACAAGUUGUACUUGCAGGUGCAGGCACUUAGUGGAAUAAAUAGAAAGUGACACUCACAUCCUGCCAUCUUACCUUGUUAUCAUAAAGCCCAAGAAUAGGCUUGCCCACCUGCCACUUGUGGUUCUGUGUGACCAUUUUGAUAUCUUUGGGGUUUUCGGCAGCUAAGAAUGAACGUAAGAGUUCUGCCUGUGCAAUCUUUUCUGUGUCCUCUGGCAGAAGAGGUGUUUGGCCUUUGGAAUGAUAUGGAAUCCACAAGCAAGCUUUAUUCACAUCUGAUUUCCAAAGAAGAUAUCAAAGUGUCCUAGCUGAUCUACUAAGCAAGCAAAGUUCAUCUGUCUGAGCCUGCACUGACCCAAGCUGUGAAGCCAUUUCUAAUUGGCUAACCUAUGUUGAGCACGUGUACCUUGUGUUCAGUACCCACUAUGGACACAACACAGCUGGAGGUCUGCAAAUGAUUCACCUCUCAAGAUUUUUAUGCCUUUUCCACCUACAGCCAAACUUGUUAAAAGCUGACGGCUUAAAUCACCUGGUAGAGACUGAGAAAAGAAAAAUUCAAAGUAGAGUUCUUUCUUUGGCAAGAAUAAAAGAAUAAACAACCAUCCCCAAAUAAAACUCAAUGAAAAUGCUAUUGGUUAAUUAAUUGGUUAAUUCUGAAGUUAGGAAGCUGGUUUCAAGUAUUGCUCAAGCAAACUCCACCUAAACGUGAACUUGAUUCAAAGCCCACAGAAGUCCAAGAGGGCUUUUCUUCAGUUACGUUUUGGUGACAGUCUUGAUAUUAUAUGGUAUCUUUGUUAUCCCCAUGGUUUUAUAUUUAACUGUGCUCACAGCUAAGGUACAAAGUACCUAUCCCAAAUGCUUGACAAACAGAAUAGGUUAAGUUAAUGGGUCAGCAGAGGAGUGGCACUUUGAUGUGUUGCUUCUUUAUAUGACAGCUAGCUUAGUUUCUUAUGGCCUCUUUGCCUGCUGCCAGGAGCAGUGAGUGGACCACUUCGACAGAGCUGUAAGUUACAGUUCCAAAUGAAAUUUUGGAACCCCACACUGUGGCAGCACCUGAUGUAAUCUUCCCUUUGCUUCUGUGCUGGUUGGAAGUCAAGGUAAAUUCCUGUUGAAUGUCCAAGUCCAAUCAGCAACUGAUAAAAGCUCUUAACAACCUAGAUCCUCUACAAGUAGUUGUGAUACCAACCAACAUGGUAGUAAUUAUGUAUUGUUUAUAAUUUCUGGAAAUGCAUCUAUGAAAUUGUGUAUUUGUGAUGUGGCUGUGAGCACCAGUGGCUGUUAUUCUGCUUUCCUAUUCCUAUCUUCUGACCUGACCUUUAACAAAGCAGCAGAGACAAGUUUCCAAUGACCUCUGCUCUGAGGAAAAGGACAGGAAAGGGUAUAGGUACAGACAGGAUCUGUAAGGAGAGAUAGUAAGAAAUAAUUAAAUUAUUAGCAAAAUUUGCAGAACCUACAUGAUUUUCCAGGGAAAGUUCUUAUUACAUCUAUGCUGCUUUUGAAAGAUGUGCUUAGAACCACAACUUUGAAAAAGUCAGACAUCAGAUCUUAGUGAGGAUGGGCAAAUAAGAGCCCUUUCUCCUCACUAGCUUAAAUUAGACACAUUCACUUUGUCCAGCAUUGCUUCUUCCCUAGGCUGGGAAUUCUGUAAUGAAUGCAAAGGAGAGUAGGCAGUACAGCUGUUUGUAAUGGUGUGAGAUCUUUUCGUUGAUCAUGGUGAAAGAGAGUACUUGACCCACAUCCUAAUCUGAAAGCCUCCACUUCCCACUCAUAUAGCAUGAUUGAAUCAUUAAGGUUGGCAAGACCAUUGAGAUCAUCCGAUCCAAGCCAUACAUGCUGAACAGUGAUUAGUUCAAAAUACGGAUUAGGGUCUGCGUGUACAUAAGCUUCAUUUCUUGAGAAACUUGUUUUUCAAGUGUUGUUCUCUGUCCACUUGGAGGCAGGAGAUACUUGGUGCGAGUGGCAGGGUGUUCAGCAUUUGAGAUUGCGCUGUCAGCUCAGUGACAAGGUUUUCAGGGCUUUGUGUCUAGAAGGGCAUGAAGACAUCACAGCAGUUUCGGGUUGUCGUUUAGCCGAAGGCUGGAAUACAUCCCCACAUGCCGGACCAGGUUGGGUUCCACCACGUAGGCAUUCUCCCCCUUCGUGCGCAGCAGUGAGUAGAGGGCAAUGUCCUUAGCAAAACCCUGGCGACAAUGCAACCCCUUCAAGUAACCUAAGACACGAUGGGCAGAAGAAGCAGAGAACAGCAUGGCAGGUGUGCAGCACUCUGUGACCGGCACAACGUUAUACAGCACAGGGGCCAGCCGGCGCAGCUCCAGCAGGUAGUGCCGUCCCACCAGCUCUGACAGUGCCAUGCUAUAGGCAGCAAAGAACAAGAUGAUGGGCCAAUUCAGGCUCGGGCGCCCAGCUGCCCAGGAGUACACACAGUUCAGCACAGGCCCCAGAAACAUUCCCAAACCCAGCCACUCGAGGAUUCGCAUGGGCUCAGGAUUGACAUACUGCUGAAGCCUCUCAGGAUGGUAAAGUUUGAAGUAGAGUGCAUCUCUGAGGUAUGGUUUGGAGAAUCGGGCUAAGAAGAGGUGCUGCAAGACAGAGAAUAUCUCUUCCUCUGGCACAGCAUCAUCUUCCACUACCAGGACAUAUUCUGGGUUAUAUGCCAAGAGCGACUGCUCAAGGCAGAAGACAUAGUCCUGCUUCUCCUUCUCAAAGUGGUUCACUCUAGGGUCAGGGUCCUCCCCAGUUUUGUCACGACUGACCAUAGGAAAGAAGCUGCUCAGCAGCUUGACAUCCUGAUGAUGACUGGGGUCAGGCUCCACGUUACAGACGAGGACACGGUGGCUCUGGCAAUUUGUCCCACAUUGCUGGAGGAGGCGGUGGAAACGGGAUGCCACCUGCAAGACAUAGUGGAAAUCAUCCCGCCUCUGCACAGUGAUAAUGGUGACCAGCAGCAAGGGCCGAAAGGUUUCACUGUUGGAGGCCUUGGAGAUAUUUGGUAUCUGCAGCUUCUCAAAAUAAUGGAGGGCAGCCUGACCCUCCUGCCGGUUCUGACUCAAGAACUCCUGGCUCAUGGGAUUCAGGUGCCAGCGCCGCAAAUAAAAAUAAGAGUAGAGGAGUCGGUGGCAAAUCAAAGGAGCCAGCACACCAAAUGUCACUACAGUCAGAGUGAGAAAGUGGAUGAAAGGACUGGACCAGCGGCACCACCUCCCGUAGAGCUGCCAGGCAUAGUGUAACAUAGCUGCUGCAGGAGGGCACUCCUACCUCAGGGCACCCAGUGCCUUCCCUCCUUCACUUCCACUGCAUCUUCUCUGGGUCUCAAGAUACCAUUGCAUUGGUGGCUGCCAAAGUUUGUCCACACCUGGAGAGGAAGAAGAAUGAUUGUUAAUGAAACAGGAACUAUCAGAAUGGGAAGACCAUGAUUUGAGGAAACGGAAAGCUGAGAGUAGGCACCAAGUAAGCCAAAAGAGAAGGCUGCUGAGGGGUCCACUGCAACGGGGGCAUCACUGUCACAGGACCAUGAAGGAAGAUGAGCAGAAUGCUGUUAAUGCCUUUUCAGCACAUAGAAGCUCUGAUUUGAGUUAGCUAAGAUUUUACUGUGUUUGUUACUGUACUUGAAAUGCAAAACAAACAAGCAAUGUGAGUGCAGAAGUGUGGAGAAAUAAAUC